CCUANGGGGGGCUGCAGUCUUGAAUAUUCGGCAAUCUACGAAAGUAGGACCGAGCGACGCCGCGUGUAGGAUGAAGGCCUUCGGGUCGUAAACUGCUUUUAUCGGGGACGAACAAAUGACGGUACCCGAAGAAUAAGAGGUUGCUAACUCUGUGCCAGCAGCAGCGGUAAUACAGAGACCUCAAGCGUUAUCCGGAUUUAUUGGGUGUAAAGAGUGCGUAGGCUGUUUGGUAAGUCAAUGGUUAAAUCCCGGAGCUCAACUCCGGAACCGCCAUUGAUACUGCCAGGCUAGAGUAUGGAAGAGGCGAGCGGAAUUGCUGGUGUAGGGGUAAAAUCCGUUGAUAUCAGCAAGAACACCAAAUGCGUAGGCAGCUCGCUAGAACAUUACUGACGCUGUUGCACGAAAGCGUGGGGAUCAAAGAGGAUUAGAUACCCGUNUANUC
rnacentral:rRNA from 1 species